UGGAGCUGCUAAUCUUAUUGCAAGAUUCCUAUAGUUUGCAUUUGUAAUGGCAGUUAUAGCAGGAAGCUGAAGAGCACUAUAAAUUACCUAUUUGGUACUCAACUUCAGGAAACCAACAAAUUAGCAGAUACAAGUCCGCUUGCAAUUUUUGGGAGAAUAAACAGUUCCUUUGGGUUCAUCGCUCAGUUUUGUCCCUGCUAUGCUUACUGCUCCUACAUGGCUCUUCAGGGUUAUGGAUGGAGUGCGUUAUUUCGACGGUCCUCUAUUUUUUUUGUUGCGUGUGCCUUCAGGUCCAUCAGGUAUAAGGCGAGUUGUGUCCCUGGUAGAGGUGCAGAUCAAGGAGGUCGACAAAUGGGAUGAUGUUGGGUGAUGUUCACUAAGGAGGAAAAAGGUGUAGGGGUCGUUGUUUUUUUGGCGAUGGCAGCGGCAUACUUCCUUGAGCGAAGAAAGGAAUCCCCAGCCUGAAGCUUCGCACAGAUUUUGCCUAUUCUCUGAGAUGGAUGAUGAUGAGCGGUGCAACCGAAAAUUCAGAGCUGAGCUUUACACACUUCAGUGGGAGUGGCAUGACAACACCAAGGUAGAGACCUGAAGAGAAGCACAGGGACGGACCAAGGAAACUAGAACCACGCUGUCGUGAUGUGGGCCGUGUCGUCUUCGUCCAUCUCCAUGGAGGUAUAUAUAAAUAUAUAGGUUAGGUAUAGGAAAUGAGACCAUCUCCAUGGAACUCUGACUGAUGUGUAAUGUCCUCAUAGGACCUGACCGACCAAACUAAACAUUCACUCAUAGUUUUCAUUUUCUCACUUAUCAUCAAUACGAAUUUUUUUGUUUAAAACUUAAAAGUAAAACCUGGAUUUACCGCUUGUGUCUACUCCAGUGUGUUAUAUUCUUCAGAAUGUCUUUAUGAGCAAGA